AGUGAAUGCUUGCGACAUACAUAACACAUGCAAGUUGAACGAAUCUAUUUUGGUUAGUAGCGUACGGGUGAGUAAUGCAGAAGAAUUUUGGUGUGAGUUUGGGAUAGUAAUUUUUGUUGAAUACCAGAUAUUAUGAAGAUUGAUCGCUUAUAUGGGAGCUUCUGUAAGAUUAGGUUGUUGGUGGGGUAAAUGCCUACCAAGCCAUAGAUCUUUAGCCGG
rnacentral:rRNA from 1 species